rnacentral:rRNA from 1 species
GACGAACGCUGGCGGCGUGCUUAACACAUGCAAGUCGAACGGAAAGGCCCUGCUUUUGUGGGGUGCUCGAGUGGCGAACGGGUGAGUAACACGUGAGUAACCUGCCCUUUACUUUGGGAUAACUUCAGGAAACUGGGGCUAAUACCGGAUAUGAGCUCCUGCUGCAUGGUGGGGGUUGGAAAGUUUCGGCGGUUGGGGAUGGACUCGCGGCUUAUCAGCUUGUUGGUGGGGUAGUGGCUUACCAAGGCUUGGACGGGUAGCCGGCCUGAGAGGGUGACCGGCCACAUUGGGACUGGGAUACGGCCCAGACUCCUACGGGAGGCAGCAGUGGGGAAUAUUGCAAGAUGGGCGGAAGCCUGAUGCAGCAACGCCGCGUGCGGGAUGACGGCCUUCGGGUUGUAAACCGCUUUCGCCUGUGACGAAGCGUGAGUGACGGUAAUGGGUAAAGAAGCACCGGCUAACUACGUG